rnacentral:misc_RNA from 1 species
CUCGCUCGAAAGGGUCGCCAGCUGACUACGAACGCACACGAAGCGAUGAUCCGCUCCUGCUCUCGUGCGUAGUAUGAAGAGUCGCUUGCUACUGAUGCCCCAGUUGCUUGUAGGUCUCCAGCGCGGGCGUGCGAAGUGAGAACAACAGUCGGACUCGCAGGACGUCCCAAUCGUCCUGAAAAGCUGAUGGGACUCGCGGGCGCGCCUCGAGCGACCACCAUCUCUUCGCUCUUCGUCGAGCCAAUUCUGCUCCUCCUGUCUACAAUGCAUCGUCCAAGAACCGACAGGCGGCAUCUCUCGAGGCGGAAGCAAGCCCAAGGACUGCAAGGCGGAGUCAGUGGGGGAGGGGAGGGCGCCAAGCGGCGGCGAAGGUGGCGGAGAUGACCAUUUCGCAAAGGUCGCGGUUCUGACUUUGUCAUGGAUGGUAGAACGACAAUUGCCUGCGUCUCUGAGUGGAACCUCGCCGCUUUGUCUGCCUCUUCGAGCGCAAUUCUUGGAGAUGCAACCCGCCAACGCAAAGCACCUCGUGGCAUCCUUUUAUCGUUCCCUUUCUAGCUGCCUCGUCGUUUCCGCCCGUCUACCUCCACUUCCCUUUGCUCCUUUCGCCCUCGUCUCGCCUCGAUGCGUCGCCUUCGCGUUCCGACAUCGCUGACCCGUCCCCCGCUGCUCAUCCGGACCCGUCUCUGGGCCGCUCGUCCAUCACAUCGCCGCCGUCCUUUGCCCUCCGCCUGCAAGUCAUCCAGCCUCGUUGGCUUGAUCCUCGGCCUGCGCCUUCUUGGGUGGAUCACGCCAGAUAAACCCUGAUGGCGCCCGGGCGUGUGCUAGUCGCGGAUGGACGAGGAUGCGCGAGUGGGAUUCGCGGGCUGUCGUUCUCGUGCGGGCAAACGCGGGGCGGGAG